GAUGAACGCUGGCGGCGUGCCUACUACAUGCAAGUCGAGCGAACAGACGAGGAGCUUGCUCCUCUGACGUUAGCGGCGGACGGGUGAGUAACACGUGGAUAACCUACCUAUAAGACUGGGAUAACUUCGGGAAACCGGAGCUAAUACCGGAUAAUAUAUUGAACCGCAUGGUUCAAUAGUGAAAGACGGUUUUGCUGUCACUUAUAGAUGGAUCCGCGCCGCAUUAGCUAGUUGGUAAGGUAACGGCUUACCAAGGCAACGAUGCGUAGCCGACCUGAGAGGGUGAUCGGCCACACUGGAACUGAGACACGGUCCAGACUCCUACGGGAGGCAGCAGUAGGGAAUCUUCCGCAAUGGGCGAAAGCCUGACGGAGCAACGCCGCGUGAGUGAUGAAGGUCUUCGGAUCGUAAAACUCUGUUAUUAGGGAAGAACAAAUGUGUAAGUAACUAUGCACGUCUUGACGGUACCUAAUCAGAAAGCCACGGCUAACUACGUG
rnacentral:rRNA from 1 species